rnacentral:rRNA from 1 species
CCUACGGGGGCAGCAGUGGGGAAUAUUGGACAAUGGGCGAAAGCCUGAUCCAGCCAUGCCGCGUGUGUGAAGAAGGCCUUCGGGUUGUAAAGCACUUUCAGUGGGGAAGAAAGCCUUGGGGCUAAUACCCUCGAGGAAGGACAUCACCCACAGAAGAAGCACCGGCUAACUCCGUGCCAGCAGCCGCGGUAAUACGGAGGGUGCGAGCGUUAAUCGGAAUUACUGGGCGUAAAGCGCGCGUAGGCGGUCUGAUAAGCCGGUUGUGAAAGCCCCGGGCUCAACCUGGGAACGGCAUCCGGAACUGUCAGGCUAGAGUGCAGGAGAGGAAGGUAGAAUUCCCGGUGUAGCGGUGAAAUGCGUAGAGAUCGGGAGGAAUACCAGUGGCGAAGGCGGCCUUCUGGACUGACACUGACGCUGAGGUGCGAAAGCGUGGGUAGCAAACAGGAUUAGAUACCCCAGUCGUC